rnacentral:rRNA from 2 species
UGCCUGGCGGCUUUAGCGCGGUGGUCCCACCUGACCCCAUGCCGAACUCAGAAGUGAAACGCCGUAGCGCCGAUGGUAGUGUGGGGCCUCCCCAUGCGAGAGUAGGGAACUGCCAGGCAU